rnacentral:lncRNA from 1 species
GCUGACUUUUAUCAUAUAUCCAAAGUCCAGCCCCUGCAUCUGGUCCAGCCACUGCCCAGGAUAGUGUGGUGACCGUCUGGAGUUUCUGAUUUAUUUGAGAGGCAGAGUGACACAGAGAGAGAGAGAACCUUCCAUCUCUGGUUCACUCCCCAAACGACCAGGCCAGCAGGCAGGAGCGCCAUCCAGGUCUCCCACGCGGGUGGCAGGGGCCCAAACACUCUAACCAGUGGUUGCAUGAGAAGCCGCUGCUGCAGGCAGCAGCUUAGCCCGUCUUCGCGCCACAAUGCUGGCCCUGACCGUCACUAAUUUGAAUCCAGAGGAAUGUGAUCUCUGCCCCCGUAGAUGCAUGAGUCCGUUUGGGGGCUUUCUGGUUUUUUUUUUUUUUUUUUUUUUUUUCUGUUCAUCUUCUCUCGGAAUCUUGCGCAAACACCACCCUCUCUCCGCUCCGAGGGCUGACUCCUGACUUCUGCCUGCACAGGCCGGCUGUCGUCUGCCCUUGAAUGGAUCCCGUCUUUUCUCCCUGCCUAUGAGUUUGCCAGGAUUGCUGUCGCUGGGACGAAGCAUUGCAGCUCACACGGUGGAUGUCACCAUCCAGUGGGUUCUGAAGCCGGCAAGUCCAAGACAGAGGCGUGAGCGGGGCGGGCUCCUGCCGAGAGCUGCGAGGGCAAGCCUACCCCAAUUCCCAGUGUCUUGAGAAGUUGGAAAGUCCGGGCUCCCAGGUGACGUGGCGGGUGGAAGCCGCCUCUUUUGGAACAGGUGUUUCCACUGCAAGAGCUCGGCCGCACCCGUGGCCCUGCGGGCGGGCGCCAGCAAGAGCGACAGUCACAGCACCACAGGACGCAAGCCACACGGGAAGGAAGUGCUGUGAGCGCCCCCAGCCCCCUCCCUUCUUCCCUCCCCCCUCCCCCCUCCCCACAUCCUGCAUCUGCGGGUUUCCCCAGUCAUUGCUGUGUCUCCCGCCAGCAUCUCCAUCUCCAUAAAUAAGCUCUCCCCACCCACCCCCCAGCCCCUGCCCGCUACUGCGCCCCUGAACUUUCUGAUGGCCUUGGGACUGCCGCUGAAGUUGCAAAGUAAUCUGGCCCUCCCCGGCCAGCGGGCCCAGAGGACUGGCCUGGUGAGCACACGAUCAAAGUAGCCACUGUGACUCCGGCCAGCUCCUAUCGCCCGGCCGGCCGGAGGCCAGCAUGCGGCGGCCCCACCCGUUCCCCUUGUUCCCAACUCCCCCUGAGCUCCCCUUCCUGCUCCUGAGGUUUAAGAUUGAUUUAUUUGUUUGAAAGAUAGAGUGUGGGGGGGGGAGAG